UGGCUCAGAUUGAACGCUGGCGGCAGGCCUAACACAUGCAAGUCGGGCGGUAACAGGGAGAAGCUUGCUUCUCCGCUGACGAGCGGCGGACGGGUGAGUAAUGUAUGGGGAUCUGCCUGAUGGCGGGGGAUAACUACUGGAAACGGUAGCUAAUACCGCAUAAUGUCUUCGGACCAAAGCGGGGGACCUCCGGGCCUCGCGCCAUCAGAUGAACCCAUAUGGGAUUAGCUAGUAGGUGAGGUAACGGCUUACCUAGGCGACGAUCCCUAGCUGGUCUGAGAGGAUGAUCAGCCACACUGGGACUGAGACACGGCCCAGACUCCUACGGGAGGCAGCAGUGGGGAAUAUUGCACAAUGGGCGCAAGCCUGAUGCAGCCAUGCCGCGUGUAUGAAGAAGGCCUUCGGGUUGUAAAGUACUUUCAGUCGGGAGGAAGGUGGUGAGCUUAAUACGCUCAUCAAUGACGU
rnacentral:rRNA from 1 species